UACGUAGGGUGCAAGCGUUGUCCGGAAUUAUUGGGCGUAAAGAGCUCGUAGGCGGUUUGUUGCGUCGGCUGUGAAAUCCCGAGGCUCAACCUCGGGUCUGCAGUCGAUACGAGCAAACUAGAGUGUUUGCAGGGGAGACUGGAAUUCCUGGUGAUAGCGGUGAAAUGCGCAGAUAUCAGGAGGAACACCGAUGGCGAAGGCAGGUCUCUGGGCAUUAACUGACGCUGAGGAGCGAAAGCAUGGGGAGCGAACAGG
rnacentral:rRNA from 1 species